rnacentral:rRNA from 1 species
ACCCAAUUUUGGGAAUGGAUUUUUUGGGUUUUCCCUUCAAUAAAAACCCCACCAAAUGGCAAUUUGGGGGGCAAAUGGCAAAUUCCCCCAACCCUUCAAUUUUUUAACCCCAAGUUGCCCUUAAGGCCACCUGGUUAAGGCCCCUUCCCCUUGGCCUUAAAC